UACGAAGGGGGCUAGCGUUGUUCGGAUUUACUGGGCGUAAAGCGCACGUAGGCGGAUCGAUCAGUCAGGGGUGAAAUCCCAGAGCUCAACUCUGGAACUGCCUUUGAUACUGCCGAUCUGGAGUAUGGAAGAGGUGAGUGGAAUUCCGAGUGUAGAGGUGAAAUUCGUAGAUAUUCGGAGGAACACCAGUGGCGAAGGCGGCUCACUGGUCCAUUACUGACGCUGAGGUGCGAAAGCGUGGGGAGCAAACAGG
rnacentral:rRNA from 1 species